GAUGAACGCUGGCGGCGUGCCUAAUACAUGCAAGUCGAGCGAACGGACGAGAAGCUUGCUUCUCUGAUGUUAGCGGCGGACGGGUGAGUAACACGUGGAUAACCUACCUAUAAGACUGGGAUAACUUCGGGAAACCGUAGCUAAUACCGGAUAAUAUUUUGAACCGCAUGGUUCAAAAGUUAAAGACGGUCUUGCUGUCACUUCUAGAUGGAUCCGCGCUGCAUUAGCUAGUUGGUAAGGUAACGGCUUACCAAGGCAACGAUGCAUAGCCGACCUGAGAGGGUGAUCGGCCACACUGGAACUGAGACACGGUCCAGACACCUACGGGAGGCAGCAGUAGGGAAUCUUCGGAAAUGGGCGAAAGCCUGACGGAGCAACGCCGCGUGAGUGAUGAAGGUCUUCGGAUCGUAAAACUCUGUUAUUAGGGAAGAACAUAUGUGUAAGUAACUAUGCACAUCUUGACGGUACCUAAUCAGAAAGCCACGGCUAACUACGUG
rnacentral:rRNA from 1 species